AGUAGCGAAGGUCAUGAUCUCAGACUGCCAAGAAAAGCCUCUAGCCAGGAGAAGGUGCCCGUACCGCAAACCGACACAGGUAGGCGAGAAGAGAAUUCUAAGGCGCGCGGAAGAACUCUCGUUAAGGAACUCGGCAAAAUGACCCCGUAACUUCGGGAGAAGGGGUGCCUCGGUAGGGUGAAUAGCCCGAGGGGGCCGCAGUGAAAAGGCCCAAGCGACUGUUUAGCAAAAACACAGGUCUGUGCGAAGCCGCAAGGCGAAGUAUACGGGCUGACGCCUGCCCGGUGCUGGAAGGUUAAGGGGAGUGGUAAGCCUUCGGGCGAAGCUAUGAACCGAAGCCCCAGUAAACGGCGGCCGUAACUAUAACGGUCCUAAGGUAGCGAAAUUCCUUGUCAGGUAAAUUCUGACCCGCACGAAUGGCGUAACGACUUGGGCGCUGUCUCAACGAGAGAUCCGGUGAAAUUUUAAUACCUGUGAAGAUGCAGGUUACCCGCGACAAGACGGAAAGACCCCAUGGAGCUUUACUGCAGCUUGAUAUUGAAUUUGGGUACGAUCUGUACAGGAUAGGUGGGAGCCGUAGAACUUUGAGCGCCAGCUUGAAGGGAGGCAUCCUUGGGAUACCACCCUGAUCGUAUCUAGGUUCUAACUUGGUACCGUGAUCCGGUACGAGGACAGUGUCAGGUGGGCAGUUUGACUGGGGCGGUCGCCUCCUAAAGAGUAACGGAGGCGCCCCAA
rnacentral:rRNA from 1 species